ACUGUUCGUCUUUGACAAACGACACCAGAAGACGAAGAAAGCGUGAUGCUGAUGACGAUGAGACUAUAGAUGAUGACGUAGAUAUUCCAAACAUCAUCCGGGGAUAUAAAGUUAUAGCGUUAGCAGACGGAGAAGAAAUAACAACUGUAAGAGAAGAAGAAACCGAGACAGACCUAUGUGUUCCAUUAUAUCUGAUGAUAGCUAUUGCCGGCGUCUCCCUGACUAUCAUAGGGGGCGGAGUCACAGUGUUCACGUCUGGUUUCCGGAAUGUUCUUGAUCAUAACAAAACUAUCGCAAAGUUAAGAAAAACAAAUGACACAAAAUUAAGUGAAGGUUCAAGCCAAAAUGAUGUUGGUGGUGUUGCUGUAUUAAGUAAAGGAAACAUUCAUCUGUCAGCAGCACCUAGUCCUUACAGAAGAAAAUCUUUAACAAAUUUAUAAGGUUAAGUAAGUAAUUUACGGUAAAUAGAUAGAAAACACGUUUAUGUUAUGAGGUAAUUUGAACUGAGCACAGAAUAUUGAUAAUAUGAAUCUAAAGAGUCUUGAUCAUUAAUGUGUGAACUAUUGUUUCUACGAAGUGUCAUAAAUAUAGCAAUAAACAUAUCUAAUCUUUUAAACUUAAAAUUAACAAAAUUGUGUUCGAAGGCAGCAUUAAUAGCGUAAACUUUAGUUUUAAUACAAACUUUGUUUAUUGUACUAGUAGCAAAUGAAUACAUGUAUGAAAUAUAAUACCAAAAUAUUUGUUUACUUAUGGAAUUAAAGCUUAGAAACAUCAGAUGGCAACAUACAUAUAAUGUUUAAAUUGAUAACACAAUGCGAAAAUAAAGGGUAAACCCGACCCGGCGCUUUUCAAUAAAAAUUGAGAAGAUCACAAUGAAUCUGCUUAAUUCUAAGUUAUGUUUAUUUUGCUAUUUUAUGAGAAGCCAGUUCAAGCAUGUAAAUGUUACUUAAGGACAAAGUGGCAAUAUAAGAACAAUUUAUUAUCAUCAUUUAUCAAAAUUUUUAUUUUCUUAGAUAUCGUGAAUGUAAUUAAACAUAAUCAAAGAUCAAAAUGUUUCUAUUUUCAAUAUUUUAUCCAUUCGUGCAGAAUGUUAUUUUAUACCAAGCGUUUCCAGUGUUGUUUCUCUUUUUAGAUAAACUUUAUUGUACCCCAAUUUUUCAAAUAGAAAAAAUGGGGUAUGUUCGUCUUCCUGUUUGUCUGUCCGUAUGUAUAUCUGUCUGCCCUUCCGUCAGUCUGUCACACUUUUUAUCCGGUCCAACAAGGGUUUGGCACAAAAGUUAAUCAUAAUAAGACAACGUAUGUUGCGAUACAACCAGAUCUAAAGUUAACAUUGCCUGAUGAUAGAAUUUCUAUUUCGUAUCCGGUUCAUAACUUUUACAUCCAUCAAGUGAUAUUGAAAAAAAAUAUCACAAAUGUGCACAAUAAUCGGACAAACUGCCAUACCAAACAACCAGGUAAACGUCACACUUGGAAGUCAUAGGUCAACAAUCUCUGAUGCAAGGUAUUGUGUCCGUUAGCUCAAAUAUUCACUAUGUUAAGCUUAAGCAGGGAGUUGUUGACGUAGAGUCCUAACCAUGGACUUCAGUUACAAUCGACUGUAUAACUAGUUAUCAAGUUUUCACGAAUUGAUUUGGAUGUGAAUUUUUAGUUGGUAUUUAGAUGUUUCUUACCAACGUUUAUCGUUAUACCAGAAAGUGCAAUAUUUAGAGACUAAUAUCUACAAAGUAUAAUUUAAACAUAAUUGGCAAGAGUUUUUACUAGCCCUUUUUACAAUUUAACUGUUUUUUUUUUAAAUUCCAUACAGACGGUUAGAUUUUAAUUAAUUGUUCAGUUCUGGCACUAAAACAAGAUAAAUCGAAUAAUGAUUGACAGACACAGUAAAAUAAGAAUAUUUGAAGCAUUAACAAUAGAAUAAUUAGCUCAUUCACUUGGACACCGUAAACACAUAUCACUUUACAUAGUACGACAUUUUACGUACUUAGAUCCCACAUACAUAUAUUUUAAAGGUAUAAAAAAGAACAAAACGUCUAUUAUUUAAACUGAUUUGUUUAUUUUUUCGCAGUUUUAAUUAUUUCAUGUGUUUUUUCUUUGUUUUAAUAAAAAGGCGGGUUUUUAAUGAAGACACAAUCAAGAAACAAUGAUUUAUCCAAAAAUAGGUCUACUUCAUAAAAAGACGUUUUCAAUAUGUAUUUGAAAAUGUCUUUAGAAAAGUUGAAUCUAUUAUUUGAAUAAUAGGCAAUAAGAACUUCAGACUGUUUGAAGCUUGUCGCAGAUUAAAAUACAAUAUAUAU